AGCAGCUUGGCGCAGUGGAAGCGCGGUAUGUUCAGCAAACUCCAUCCAAAACUACAAAGCUAACUCGUCCCAGCCGGGCUCAUAACCCGGAGGUCACUGGAUCGAAACCAGUAGCUGCUA
rnacentral:tRNA from 3 species